rfam:Triticum aestivum genome assembly, contig: Triticum_aestivum_CS42_TGACv1_scaffold_375289_5AL
GUUAUACUCCCUCCGUCCGGAAAUACUUGUUGCAUAAAUGGAUAAAAACGGAUGCAUCUAGACUAAAAUAUGUCUAGAUACAUCUAUUUCGCUGACAAGUAUUUCCCCACGGAGGGAGUACGAA